UUUAGCUGCGCACACAAACAUUAAUAAGCAGCAGCUGUGAGAGCUGGGAGAGGAGUUCAGGAGAUGCUCAUCACACCAGGCACUUGCUAAUUGCUGGUCAAGGACGAACACGUCGCUUAUCACAGCUGCUGUUAAGCUGGCCUUGCAGGGUGAGGUGUUUUGCUCUGCUCCAGGCUGCAGUGUGGAGAUGGAGCAGUUUGUCUCUGCAUGAGUGCCUGGAAAGAGAGGAAAUGUGGCUCAGCUCUGGCUGCCUCCAAGAAAAAAUGCACCUGUCUGGAGGAGGGAACUGAGGGCCUGUCUUUGUGUGCACAGAGAGGUCAGCGUGGUGCCCUGUGCUCCUGCAGCUACAGGCAGCGAUUGGUGCUCUCCUCACCCCAGGAAAUGGCACGGGAUGCAAUUGGGCAAGAUAAUGAUGGGACGAUGGUUUGGUGAGGACAAGAGAAACCCUUUGGGCAUCACAUCUGGCACCCAGCAUCAACCUGAUUUUGUAGCGCACAACCCGAAAAUGAAGAACAAAGGAAAACCCCAGAGUGGCACCACUGCCUGAGAGAGCACAACUCCACAUUUGGAUGUGGACAGUCCUCCUGAUUCGAGCUUGGCAUCCCAAAUGAUGGGCCAUGGAUGGAAAAAAAAAGCAAAAGAGAAUAUGGGGGCAUACGGUUCUGCUUCCCUUAAGUGACGAUGGGGACCUGCUGGGGUCCCAUGGCUGGAUACAAGCUCAUCUUCACAAGAAGAUGUGCCAUUCCCUGAGGAAAUUAAAACGUGGCUGGUAUUGGAAUACUUCCUGCAAGCCCCUGCCUGAUGGGGAAGCAAAUGAACCGCAACUGUCUGCAUUGAAAAAUAAUUGGGCAUAUUAGGUUGCCAUUAGCAAUCAGAGCAGAGGCGGGCUGCAGGCAGUGCCUUUUUCUGCCCAGGGACAUGGCCUGGGGGGUGACCCAUGCAGAGAGGGAAAGUGGGGACAUCUCUGUGGCACUUGGGAUGGUUUGUGCCAUGGGAGAGGCUGCUGCUGGUGUUCCCACAUGGCCUGUGUGCAUUAAGCAUUUUGCAUUUUGCACCAUGUUACGCAGCCACCACUGCAACUGUGUGCAGUGCUUGGAUUGCAAAAAGGGAGCCAUCCUGGAACACUCGUGGGGUUCUGUUCAUUUGUCUGGCUUUCCAUCUUUGACCCAAAGGCUGUGGGAGUCCCACAGCUCUGCAGGGUGGAAAUGCUGGGCUGUUGAGUUCUCCUGAGUGUUGCACCAAUGAUGCACA